GGCCUCCUGGCUGAAGGCAGACACUCUUACAUGGACAACACAGGAGGAGGAAAAAUAAACUUACCCCCUGUACACCUCAGCCCCAGGCCCUGUGCCUGGUCUGUAUUAUGAAUGAGGAGACAUGA
rnacentral:snoRNA from 1 species